UUUCGUUCUACUGAGUAGAACCUCGGGUGCUUCUUCCUUUCUCUUCAGGAACACCCCUUUCACCGCCGGGGCCGCGCACCUUGCAGAGCCCGGGAGCCUCGGACGCCUAGAGCCGGGUGCUUGGGAGGCGGGGACGGAGGGAACCGAGCGCCCCAAGAGGAAGGAGAGGGACCGGGACAGGGCCGGAGACUGUUCCUGCUCACCCCAGAGACAGCGGAGGCGGCAUUAUGAACUGUGGGUUUGCCUUCUGCUUUCGGUUGCCAUGGUCGAGCGCAAAGGUCUCAGUAAAGGGGAGAUUCUGCCCCGUCUGACGCAAACCUACGGGCCGAACUCGGCAGCGGAGCACGUGCUCGCCAGCCCGCCGCGGCGCCAACCCAGGGCGCCGGGCCGCCCCGAACCCCAGCGCGGGCUUCGGAACCGGCGGCUCGCAGGCCCCCGAAGGACGCGGCGGAAGGUCGGGACACGCUCCUGCGAACCUGGGCUUCAGCUUUGGGGCCUAGGAGGAGUCACGGGUCCCAUAGCUCUGGGGUCCGUGUCGGGGGCGGCAGAACCAGCUCGAACCCACACCGCGGGUCAGGCGGCCGAGGCAGCGGAGAAGGUCGACCUCCAGCAGUAUCCGGAACCAAAGUCUGGACCCCACACACCUGUUUCCCUAACCCCUCCGAACCCACCCUGACCCCGGAGUGGGGAGUCUGGGCUUCUGAGCCAGAACUUUCCUGUUCUCCCUACCGUGCCCGUGCGCACAAAGCAACUCUUCAGUCUCCACUGCAGUCCUCGGCGUUUGGCGUCCGGCUCGGCUUGAGCUGGGUGGACGAACUCCGUUCAGUGACAUAAUUUCCUCAUCUGAUCCUCAUGACACACUUGAAACACGUAUUUCUCCCAUUUUUUCCAGACGACCGGGGGAAAAAAAAGAUUCACUAACGUGAAAUAACUAGACUCGGGUCAUUGGGUCCCAAGGGGUGACACUGGGUGCUUGUCUUUUGAAUAACUUCGUUUCUCUUCUUAGAUUCUGAUUCCCUCGACUCCGAUGUUUGGGGGUUGGUCUAGAAUCUAGACUAGAGAUUGUCAUAUUUUUCCAUGGUUGCCCAAAGAAAUCUGCUUAUCAGAGCCUUCAGAUCUUCCAGUGUCAACUUUGAAAGAAGAAAUUCAUAAGCAUAGGGCACCCGGUCAGUCUUGAGAAGCCAAAAAAAAAAUUGAAACAGGCAGUUCUAAACUGAACUUGCAGGAGGACAGUGAAAGUAGGCUCGGGGGCCACUGAGAGGGAGGUGAUGCCCUUUGCAGGGACGGGCCGGGCUGGCCUGCCAGCUCUGUUUGUCAAGGCGCCUGUCAAAUUAUUUCCUUCCAUCUCCUCCACCGUGAUCUUAGCUCCACUAGAGGCUCCGAGGGAAGCUCAAAGCAUUUUAUUCUUUUCUCCUGCGAAGCCUCAUUUCUCAUCCUAGAGAGUCAGAGAUGGAGGAGGAUCUGAUCCAGUAAUCCAGGGCCCUCUUCAGCAGAAGGACAAGGAGAAAAACCGUGGACGAUCUCAUGAUCCUUGCUUCUGCCACGAGAUUUUGUUUACUUGGAUUCAGCAAGGCUUAUUAGAAAGGUUGGGAGCAGGGAGCCGUGGAAGAGAGCAGGUGAAGAACUCCGUGGGACAGGCGUGCUAGAGAAACCGAAGCCCCGAGAUGUGCUCGUGGUUCCCUGGUUUAUGGAACACCACUGAGCCUCUGAAGACAGGUGUGACAAGGACGGAUGACUCGGCUCCUGCCUUCGCUGAGCAGACCUUUCAGCUCUGUAUUCUCAGCACCAGAUUUGCAAAAUGACCUGGCGAACGCAUAGGACAAAUUUGUUAAAUGAGCAUUUCAUGAAUGUCUCUGGAUAGAAAAUAGAUUCAAAAUUUUUAUAUCGCAUUGUUCUCAUCAGAAAGGUAUCUUAUGCAGUUCGGAGUUUUUCUCUGUGAUUUCUACCUACAUAGUUAAACUCCGUUCUGCUACAUUUGUGUGUUCUCAGAUUCAGUACAAUGGGUCUUCACCUGAGCCGCAGGCCUGGAAGGACAGAAACAUCUUUCUUUUCUCAUUUUACAGUGACUAUCAGGUUCUAGGUUCUAGGUUUUAGAAAUAUAAUUAGUUGUUGUUCUAUCCUAAAAUUCUUCAUGCUUAUAUAUUUAAAACAUGUAUAUAAAGAGUUUUCAAAAAAUAAAAUUUCUAUGAUGUUAAUGGCAUAGUAUAUCAGAUAAUUCAAAGAAAUUUUCUUAAAAUAGAAGUGCGUAUCACUAUCGGCCAUUACCCAGAGCACUGCUGUGAGGAAGAUGCCAGUUACAGGUGAAGAAAUUAAGUAUCAGAGAGGCUGAAUAAUUUCCACGUGUCACGCAGCUGGGACUGGGAUGCAGGUCUCUCUGAUGAUCCAUCUCAGGUGAUCUUUUUUAAGGUGUGUUGUCUGUAGAAAUUAUUGAAGAUAUAAAAAUGUACAAUGAAGAAAGUACAAGUCCAAUGCGAUCCUGUCACACAGAGAUACCAACUGAUGUUUGAUGGUUCCAGCCUUCUUCUUAUUGCAGAUGUAAAGGUAGGUCUCUAUGUGAAUACACGUUUAUAUAACUCUCGCUUACUUAUAUGUACUUGGAAAAUGUUUCACAAAGCAGGCACAGAGAAAAAAGCCCGGUAGAAGUUGAGACUUUCUGGGUUAGAAGGGACCUGACAAGUCAUGUAGUCCAACUUUCCUCCAGUAUUUGAAAAUCGUAUCUCCACAGAGAGAUUUUCCCGUUCGAGCGAUUCCAUUUUCCCAAUAUUGACUUGUGGAUGUCGAAGGAGCAGCUUCCACCUGGCUCUUCUCUAGAAGCCACGAGAAUCAACUCGACUUCUACACGGCUUUUCCCCAAAGGCUUGGCUCUUAUCAUUUUCUCCGUGUCUGCUUUUCUACCACUGUCCAUUGACAGAAAUGGCUAUGACAGAUGUGAUUUAACUACAGGAAAUUACUAAAACAGAAUUUAAAGAGGAAAGGCAUUAGGCAGAUUAUUUAAUUCAAUCUCUAUUUUGUAUAGAUUUCUACUUUCCCACACUGCCAGAAAUGCUCUGCUCUUUCCUCAUGGUAUGAAGCCAAUUUUUUGGUGAGUCCUUUCUUACAUCGUGCUAAAAUUCUACUUUAUUUUUACUCAUAAGUAGGAAUUCCAACCUUUAUGGAACAAACUUCACUCUUCACGGCUGCCCUUUAGAUAUCGUGUCAUGCUUUGACAAAGCAUUUUACAUCCCCUGUCAAAUCUAUGCCAUCGGUAAUUCAAGAAGCGUGGUGUUCUGACUCCUGAAUCCUCUAGUCAUUAUUCUGCAGAAGCAUUUUAGUUCUACAAUCUAUCUUCUAAAAUGUGAACCCGACUGAAACGAAUAAUCUACAUGUUUUAUUGUCAGUAUGUUCCCAAUUGAGGUUUUACGGGACUUACUGUUAGUCAUAUUUCUAUCGCCCUGUAGUAUACAAUAUGAAAUAAAUAACUUUGUGUUAACUUAUGUUAAAUUUCA